rnacentral:tRNA from 1 species
GUAGUCGUGGCCGAGUGGUUAAGGCGAUGGACUAGAAAUCCUGCCGACUACG